rnacentral:lncRNA from 1 species
UGAGAAUGGAGAAUUGCACUAAGCAAUCACUACGCAUGGCUCCAAACUCGUGGGUGGAGGACGCAUGAACGAAAAUGCAAUUCAUGGGGCUCCGAAAAAAGAUUGAGAAUGGGGAAUUGCACUAAGCAAUCACUACGCAUGGAUCCAAACUCGUGGGUGGAGGACGCAUGAACGAAAACGCAAUUCAUGGGGCUCCGAAAAAAGAUUGAGAAUGGAGAAUUGCACUAAGCAAUCACUAUGCAUGGCUCCAAACUCGUGGUUGGAGGACGCAUGAACGAAAAUGCAAUUCAUGGGGCUCCGAAAAAAGAUUGAGAAUGGAGAAUUGCACUAAGCAAUCACUAUGCAUGGCUCCAAACUCGUGGUUGGAGGACGCAUGAACGAAAAUGCAAUUCAUGGGGCUCCGAAAAAAGAUUGAGAAUGGAGAAUUGCACUAAGCAAUCACUGCGCAUGUCUCCAAACUCGUGGGUGGAGGUCGCAUGAACGAAAACGCAAUUUAUGGGGCUCCGAAAAAAGAUUGAGAAUGGAGAAUAUCACUAACCAACCACUACGCAUGGCUCCAACUCGUGGUUGGAGGACGCAUG